rnacentral:lncRNA from 12 species
GGUUUUCCUUCUAGUCAUUUUGCUCAGUGCAGAGUGGCCAAAAGCAAGUUGUAUUGGGAAAAAGAGAGGAGAGAAAGAAGGAAAGAAAAGAGAAAGAGAAAAAAAAGGGAAGAGAAAAAAAAACGAAAGAAAAAAAAAAGAAGAAAAAGAGAAAGAAAAAGAAAGGAGAAAAAAAAAGGGGGGGUGGGGGAAGGAAACAAAUCAAAAAGCAAAACAAAACAAAACAAAAAAACAAAAAAACAAAAACAAAACAAACAAACAAAAAAAAAACAAAAAAAAAAAAAAAAAAAAAAAAGAACCCCAGGGGAGUAUCUUCUGAUUCUGUGUUCUUUAAGUCCCUUGGCUUCUCCUGGAAGUUGUCAGUCUAGCUGGUGUUCUGGGGGAGGGGCCUGUUGUUUUGAUUUUCAGGUGUUAGUAGUUGGGGGAGUUGCUGUGCCCCUGCCUGGUGCAGGGCUCAGUGGGGGUUGUUUACCCCGUGAGGCCGCAGGAGGAACAGCCCCAGUGGCGGGGCAGCUCUGGAAACCUGGAUUCAGCUCCGGCAGGAACUCCGUCUGCAGGGCCUGGAGGCUCCGGGGCGGGGCCGCUGAUCUGCUCAGCUGGGGCAGGAGCGUCCUCGCUGUCCUGGGCCCUCCCGGCCUCUGCCUGUCCCGGGCGAGGCCGGAUCCUGGGCUGUGUCCCGGCGCCCUGUGCUCCGGAGCCUGCGCUGGUGGAUUCGCGCUCCCGGGCCGCGCAACCCCCUCCGCGGAGCUGCCGCCCGAGCCCCUCCGAGCUGCUCCUGGAACCGCGCAGCCCCCUCUGCACGGAGCCUUUUCCUCUGCCCGAGCCCGGCCGAGCUGCUCCCGGGGCCGCGCAGCCCCCUCCGCGGAGCCGCGGCCCGAGCCCCUCGAGCUGCUCCGGGUCCCGCCGUGCGCGCUGCAGCCCUUAGGGAGCUCGGCGCACUCUCCUGGGCGUGCAGUUGCUGUUACUGUCCCGGGGAGCCCGAGGGCAUCCCCUCCCUCCUGGGUCCUGCUCCAACUCCCCGCGAGCCCCUUUCUGCCCGGGAAGGUCGGUGCAGCUCCUGCUCCUCCGGGACGGGGCUCUCCUGUCCUGGGGACACUCGCCCCGGCCUCAGCCCGGCUCCUCGCGGGGCCCCUCCCCCUUGGAGGCCUUUGUUUCUUUAUUUCUUUUUCCCCGUCUUCCUACCUUGAUAGAAGCGCGAACUCUUCUCACUGUUGCAUUCCAGCUGGUCUCUCUUUAAAUCUCAGGCCGAAUUCAUAG